rnacentral:rRNA from 1 species
UACGUAGGGUGCAAGCGUUAAUCGGAAUUACUGGGCGUAAAGCGUGCGCAGGCGGCUAUGCAAGACAGAUGUGAAAUCCCCGGGCUUAACCUGGGAACUGCAUUUGUGACUGCAUGGCUAGAGUACGGUAGAGGGGGAUGGAAUUCCGCGUGUAGCAGUGAAAUGCGUAGAUAUGCGGAGGAACACCGAUGGCGAAGGCAAUCCCCUGGACCUGUACUGACGCUCAUGCACGAAAGCGUGGGGAGCAAACAGG